AAACUAAAUCCUGAUAAAUUCAGAAGCGCAAAUAAAAGACCGAAUACGCAUUAAACCUUCGACCAGGCCGCUGGAUUCCGCUUUUUGGGCUGGCGGGUGGAUCCUUACAUGUUCCUGCAUUAGAAGCAUUAAUAGAGGCAAAGUUUGUUCAUGCUCAAUUUUCAUUCAAGCUCCAAACUGCAAUUAUUGUUAAGCGGCAACCUAAUGGCUCUGCUCUGCUGAUGCUGUGAGGGUAGGAGGCAAAGUUGCCAUUGUGUGUAAAUUGAAAACAAUACAAUGUGGCCACCGUUGAUGUGUAGGAAUUUUUACAAGCAUGAUACAUCUUAUCUAUUUUUCAGGACAAGGCCUGGUGAGAGCCACUACAGAGGAUCAUAGCCAUUGUUGGAAUUCUGAAAGGACGUGGGUUGACCACUGCAAUUCUUUGGAGAACAGAUGCCAGGAAGGUGCCUGGUCCCAUCUGCAUCAAACCAGGACAACAGAACAACCUUGUUAGAACAUAACCUGAAAUGUGGGAGAUGGAUGCAAAGACACUUGAAGGGGCCAUUCACACCUCACAGUAGAACAUCACUACACAAAUAUCUACAUGGCCUCCCGGAUUAGAACCAGAACUAAAUUUUUGCAACACAGAUUGCUAUAGAUUAGGCUCCAUCCAUCUCCCAGACAUGAGCACAGAACACACACCUCCACCAUUACAUAAUCACCUCAUAUAGACUAUCCAGUCUGUACACUACAAACAGAAGACAAUGAUGGCUUGGAUUACAAACGUGAUACUCCACUAAAGAUCUAUUGUCCAUCUUCACACUGACAGAACCACAUAGCCUCACACAAUAGAAUUAGUUACAUUACAAAAGAUACAACAUAUCUACUAUCUGCAACCGUCUGAAAACUCAUGGAACAACACUGUAACACACAUUUGCAUGACUAGUCACAGAUCAAUGGCGCAAAUUUUUGAACACAGAGCCAGACAAGCCUUUACAAUUUAAAAUAUUGAAUCUUACUGAUUGUUAUUAGGGUAGUUGACAAGCCAGAGGGCCUCUGGUUUCCCAACACAUCACUAAUGACAAUAAACAUGAUUAAAAUUGUUAACUUAUGACUUUUCUACCUUACUCCAUGGGUGAUGACAUUAAGAUGAUCAGAAUUCAGUCAUUGAAUGGCCACUAAGAUGCUUUUCAGGUGUCCCACACAAAUCAGUGUGUAAGCAAGGAGAACACCUUCACCUAUUGAAGUCUGCCCAGACAACCGUACCACUGGAGGUGAGAGGAUUCACGAAUAUGGGUCAGACUAUCAUCCUAGAGAAGGUGCCACAAGGAGAAGAGGUUUCUCCAUAAAGGAAUGAUGCAUAAACUGAACAAGUCGUAAAGACUCAGAUUGACCCACUGAACUGUGCUCACAUGCUGAGCUCAACCACAGGUAGAAACCCCGGAGACAUUCAUCCACCUGCCAAACUCAAGUGACACACACCUGCUGAGACUGAGUGUUCUGCAGAUGAAUACAGCCCUCAGAAGGGUUCUACAGCUGCUAACAUCACAAAGACAAUUUUGAGAUAACAUCUCGAAGAUAAACAAUCAUCUAACACUGACCCCAUUGGAUUCAUCUGAAUGUGACCCAUUGGGGGUCAAACGGGGGACAAAGAACCUGAGAUACUUUGAUCUCCUGAGAAACAGACAAUACAAACAUACACGGGCAUCUUCGAGACACCCCACAGAGUGGAGGUGCAGGAGACCUCCUUCCCUUCUGGCCAUUUGUUUCAUUUUAAAUCCCUUCACCCAUGCUUCCUUCUACUCAAUCUGCUCAAAAUGAUUACAUGAAAAUGUCAAUGCAAGAGAACUAAUAGUUAUGUCUAGUAUAAUUUGAAAUGUCUCAGUGCAACUUCUUACAACAUCUUACAAAAGUAGACUAAAAGUUAAUACAGAUCCUAAGAGUCAAGAGAUAUUUUGAUUACUGUGAUGGGAGUGCCCUUUCCCAGGGUCCUCCAUGUAAAUUACCUUCUGUUCCCUUUGAGUUGUAAACCACUCAGGUUUGGGACCCGAGUUAAUGCAAAUUCCAAUUGUUAGUUUCUGUCUUCAUCUCGGGGGAUGUUUGUCUUGGUCUGAGGUAUUUAAAGAAUUGCAGCAAAAGAAUGACGGCGAUUCUGUAGCCAGAAAGCCCGUAGUGUGGUGUGUGUCUCUUCACUCUAUACUAUGCAUUUUCUAAGUUUGGUGUUCUGACCGGUCAGACGAGAUUUUCGGUUUCAGUGGGGGGAGCAUACAUGAAUAUUGAUGAGCUUCCCGGACCUGAGAGUAGAACCAGUUGGACGUGAGGAUUUCACUUCACGCUCCUUGCAUAUCAGCAGGUUUAAAGAUAAUGGAUGCCUUGUUCCAUCUGUUCAGCAGGGAGUAUUUUCAAUACAAUAAUUAUUGGAACAGUACCAUCAACACUUGUGAAUGAAGACAUCAAAAUGGUCAUAAAAUGGACGCUGAAGCGGCCAGAUGUUUUGGCCAUUAAUAAUCAGACCCUGGGUCACAUUCUGGAGGGUGACACCCGGGCUAGGAGCAGUUAUUUUACGAAGAAGAACAUAUUUGAAAAUAAAACUGAAGUUGUUGGUCCCUUUUUGGAGGACGGGAAUCAUUGGACUUUUUUUCACUGCAGCAUUGUUGACCGUACAAUUACAUACCUUAAUUCACUUGGGGAAACAGAUGAACAAUAUAACAAAAUAGCAGAAAACUGGAGCACAUUUGCUGCUUCAAAAGGCUACCAGGGGCCAUGGAAAAGAGUACUCAGGAAACAUAGCUUACAGCAUGUUCAUGCGUUUGCUGAGGCCAUACUUGGAGGCUCGGGGGGAUACCUUACGUGCUCUCCUAUCCAGGAAGAGAGGGAGCAUCUGGGGACACUUCUCUUUAGUUCACUUGAUAGGUCAGGUAUUUGUGGCAUCUGUUUUCAUAAAGUACCCAGGAAAAACAAGGCAACUGAUGCAAAUGACAAUUUAAAUAUUAGAAAAUAAAGUUAGAUUCUAAGCUUCAACUGAUGUUUGUCCAUUGGUUUUUAGAUCUAGUACACCAGAUUAAAUUGUUUAAUUAGUUGGGGAAUAAAAGAUAAAUACAAUAAAUAAAUGUUCCUUAGGAAUUGGAUAACCUUGAUCUAACCUUUUUUUCAUGCAAAUGAUCUUUCUAGGAAAAAUGUUCAAUAUGUUUUGUCAGUAUUCAUAAAAGAUGUCUUCCUGGGAAACCGGAGUGUCUUUUUUGCAAAGGUAGUACAUUUUGGAUUAAAUGACCCUUGUGACUACAUUAUAAAAUAAUCCUUCUAACAACUGCAAAGUUUAGGGUUAGUUCACCCAAAAAUGAAAAUUCGGUCAUUAAUUUCUCACUCUCAAGUCGUUCCACACCCGUAAGACCUUCGUCAUCCUCAGUAUUGGGCUGAUUUUCAAAACACUGCUUCAUGAAGCUUUUAAGCUUUACAAAUCUUUUGUUUCAAAUCAGACGUUCGGAUCACUGAAGUCACAUGAUUUCAGUAAUCGAGGCUUCGUUACAGCAUAAGUGUUUUUUAAUGUCAAUGGUUCACGUGACUUUGGCAGUUUGAUAUGCGCUCUGAACCACUGAUUCAAAACAAAAGAUUCAUAGAGCUUCAAAGCUUCACGAACCAGUGUUUUGAAAUCACCCAUCACUAGAUAGCCUAUAGUUGAAUAAAGUCAUUUCGUUUUUUGGUGCACAAAAAGUGUUCUCAUCACUUCAUAACAUUAAAGUUGAACCACUGUAGCCACAUGAACUGUUUUAAACAUGUUUUUAGUAGCUUUCUGGGCAUCUGAUAGUGUUGAUUAUCUUGCUGUCAAGAGAGGCCUCACUGAGCCAUCAGAUUUGAUCAAAAAUAUCUUAAUUUGUGUUCCGAAGAUGAACAAAGGUCUUACGGGUGUGGAUCUACUUAAUG